GGUACAUACACUAAAAUAAACAGUAAAAUAAAUCUUAAAAAGCAAACCUAACCUGUUAUCAGUCAUAUAUGCAAGUCAGUCCACAUUAUGCUAUUGGACUUGGGAUGUUCUCUUUCUGGGGUUGGAAGAUAACUGUAGUUUCUGGGAGCAACUUCUAAUUGAAGACAUGUUUGCAAAUAUACUGUGUGUUACCAGUGUUUACUCCAACAGGCACUUAGGCUCAGUAAGUCUUACGGUGUGUCCUGUUGGAGCACGCCAGCAGACAGCCGACCCACCAGCCACAUUUCAUUAUGACUGGCUGCACUGAACUGCUCACAGCAGUGAGUGGGGAGUUCAAGGAAAUGGGUCCUCAUCCUCCUUUUGCCCAGAGAGGCUAAACUCUACCCAUCUUCCUCUUACUUCAGAAAAAGCAGCAGAGGUAACCACAAAUUGUCCUAAAUGGGGUCCAGAGGGAACAAGCCCAGGCCACUCCUCCCCAGUGAUUUCUUGGGUCCUUCUCUGCGUUUUCCUCAUUUUACUGAUUGCAAGUGCCUUCUUCUGCAGACGUCUCACCCCAAUGUCAGGAGUGCUUAGCCGUGAAGAGAGGCAGGUGCCAGGGUAGAAUGGGUGAUAUUAACAUGUUCUUAUCAAUCAUCAAAGGUAGGCUGUGGCAAGGGGGAAUUGUACUUCCAAGUCUCUUCUUGAGAAAGACUGAAUCAUUCCACAGCUUCAGGUAGGUUGCAGAUCCUUCCAGACAUGUUACUCAUGGGAAGCCAUCUUCCUCGAGAUCACACAUUCCACAGUUACCCAGACAAAGAGCACCUACUGAGGAAUUUCCUAUGAACCACUGUUUGAACUUGUCCCCCAGGAUAUGAAGCCAGAGGUGCAACUAGUCAGAAAAGGCAGAGGCUGAGCUUAGGAAAGCUUCAAGUGAUACAGAUUGUGGGUCUGUGUGUUUUGUUUGUCUACAACAAGAGGAUAGGAGCAAACUAAGUGAAGCAGAAAGAAUGGCAGCUGAAGUGGGGGAAGUCAACUAUCCCACCUGUACUGGCUGGUUUUGUGUUAUCAACUUGACACAAGCUGGAGUUAUCACAGAGAAAGGAGCCUCCCUUGAGGAAAUGCCUCCAUGAGAUCCAGCUGUAAGGCAUUUUUUUUCAGUUAGUG
rnacentral:lncRNA from 1 species